rnacentral:lncRNA from 1 species
UCAUUCUAAUAGUAAACAACUGUUUGGAGGGUGUCUAUUAAUUGGGGAUAUCACUGCUGUGUAUAUUAGGCACAAGCUUUGAAGCAUCCUAACAAAAUUUUUAAUCAGUUUAUAGUGUAUAAGGAGAUUCUGCACUAUAAUGAAUUUUUGGUGAGUGAAUUAGACAAACUUUAAGAGAAAAAAUAGGAGUAUAUACAUUCGUG